rnacentral:rRNA from 1 species
UGGGGAAUAUUGGACAAUGGGCGCAAGCCUGAUCCAGCCAUGCCGCGUGGGUGAUGAAGGCCUUAGGGUUGUAAAGCCCUUUCGGCGGGGAAGAUAAUGACGGUACCCGCAGAAGAAGCCCCGGCUAACUUCGUGCCAGCAGCCGCGGUAAUACGAAGGGGGCUAGCGUUGCUCGGAAUUACUGGGCGUAAAGCGCACGUAGGCGGCUUGUUAAGUCGGGGGUGAAAUCCCGGAGCUCAACUCCGGAACUGCCUUCGAUACUGGCAAGCUCGAGGCCGGGAGAGGUGAGUGGAACUGCGAGUGUAGAGGUGAAAUUCGUAGAUAUUCGCAAGAACACCAGUGGCGAAGGCGGCUCACUGGCCCGGUACUGACGCUGAGGUGCGAAAGCGUGGGGAGCAAACA